UCCUAUGUUGCAUGCCUAACGUGANGGAAAUUGGCCCCGGAUGAGUCCUAAUUUUUGCCUCUCACCGAUUCGUGGUGUUAGGUUGACGUGGAAGUACUGCCCAUUCUCCUUGAUUGCUCCGCCCUUUCGCGUUGCAAUCGUGGCCCAUGGGUUGCUACUAGUUCCCUCGGAUGCAGAACCUUUGAGGGGUGCACAGUAUGUUGCUGUUGUUUACCCCCAAGGCGUUCAUCGAUCGAUGCGUACGACAGCUGUGCCCGUUUUGGUCCCCUCUCUAACNNNNNNGAUGGGGCUCAUGCGGUGCCGGCGUCGCGAAGGAAUGCUACCUGGU
rnacentral:misc_RNA from 1 species